rnacentral:rRNA from 1 species
AUUGAACGCUGGCGGCAUGCCUUACACAUGCAAGUCGAACGGCAGCACGGGAGCAAUCCUGGUGGCGAGUGGCGAACGGGUGAGUAAUAUAUCGGAACGUGCCCAGUCGUGGGGGAUAACGUAGCGAAAGCUACGCUAAUACCGCAUACGAUCUAUGGAUGAAAGCGGGGGAUCGCAAGACCUCGCGCGAUUUGAGCGGCCGAUAUCAGAUUAGGUAGUUGCUGAGGUAAAGGCUCACCAAGCCGACGAUAUGUAGCUGGUCUGAGAGGACGACCAGCCACACUGGGACUGAGACACGGCCCAGACUCCUACGGGAGGCAGCAGUGGGGAAUUUUGGACAAUGGGCGCAAGCCUGAUCCAGCAAUGCCGCGUGCAGGAUGAAGGCCUUCGGGUUGUAAACUGCUUUUGUACGGAGCGAAAAGGCUUCCACUAAUACUGGGGGCUCAUGACGGUACCGUAAGAAUAAGCACCGGCUAACUACGUGCCAGCCGCCGCAGUAAGAC